AGAGGUGUUGGCUGUAGGCAAGAGUGUAUUCUGUAGGAAAUCCAGGUGGUUUGACGGAUGUCCUUUUUUUCUUUUUUCUUUGCUGAGCAAGUUAAGCCUGGAAAGAGGGAUGUUUUAAUCAUCUAAAGCUAAAGGAAGAAGACAAGCGGCAGAGGACACACACCCUUCCCACUCCAGCUUAAAGCAGUUAACCACACACAAGAACCUGCUUCAGACCUGGAAGGUGGAGGUUGUAGUGAGCUGAGAUCACGCCAUUGCACUCCAGCCUGGGAGACAGAAGGAGACUGUCUCAAAAGUUAAAAACAAAAAGCCCGUGUAAGUGAAUAUUGCCUUCUACUUCAUAAUAUACACAUUUGCUUUAACAUUAAAAAUAAUGUUAGAUUUUUUUUUCUAAUAAGGAAAAUUGGUACUGAAGAUCUAGUGGGAAAGUCAUUUAUUUUCCUUGGCACACUGCUGUAAUCCCUGGAGUCAAAACAAAGUUGUAAUGUGGGGCGGAGUGCAUGG
rnacentral:lncRNA from 1 species